AAAACGACUCUCGGCAACGGAUAUCUCGGCUCGCGCAUCGACGAAGAACGUAGCGAAAUGCGAUACUUGGUGUGAAUUGCAGAAUCCCGUGAAUCAUCGAGUCUUUGAACGCAAGUUGCGCCCGACGCCAUUGGCCGAGGGCACGUCUGCCUGGGUGUCACG
rnacentral:rRNA from 1 species